rnacentral:misc_RNA from 1 species
UGUAGGAGUGAGCCUGCUCGCGAUGACGGUGGGUCAGUCAGCAUCGAUGUUGAACAUUGGGCCGCUAUCGCGAGCAGGCUCACUCCUGCA